rnacentral:rRNA from 1 species
UAUAAGAGGUCCAGCCUGCCCAGUGACCGCAAGUUCAACGGCCACGGUAUUUUAACCGUGCAAAGGUAGCGCAAUCACUUGUCUUUUAAAUAAAGACCUGUAUGAAUGGCUAAACGAGGGCUUAACUGUCUCCCAUUUCAAGUCAGUGAAAUUGAUCUAUCCGUGCAGAAGCGGGUAUAAUACUACAAGACGAGAAGACCCUUUGGAGCUUAAGGAGUAAAACUCAAUCAUGUCAAACAACUCAAUAAAAAGCAAUUUUGAACUUUAUGAUAAAUGAAACCACUACCUUCGGUUGGGGCGACCACGGAGAAAAAGAAAACCUCCAAGUGGAAUGGGGAAAUCCCCUAAACCAAGAGAAACAUCUCUAAGCUACAGAACAUCUGACCAUAUUUGAUCCGGCUAACCAAGACCGAUCAACGAACCAAGUUACCCCAGGGAUAACAGCGCAAUCCUCUCCCAGAGUCCAUAUCGACGAGGGGGUUUACGACCUCGAUGUUGGAUCAGGACAUCCUAAUGGUGCAGCCGCUAUUAAGGGUUCGUUUGUUCAACGAUUAAAGUCCUACGUGA